rnacentral:lncRNA from 1 species
GCUUUUUUGGACCCAUAAAUGGGUGCUCGGCUGCAAUUGAAGAAGAGGUUGGAUCUGAUGACGAGCAAUCUCUGUAAUAGUUGCCUUCCACUCCCGAUCUCAAAUUGGCUUUACUGCUUCAGGUGAAGGAAGUAGUUAGCCAUUGGUUAUCAAUCCGAUCUUUCUACUUAGAGCACUUUGUGCCAUGUGUUGGGUGCUGGUGGCCUCGUAUUGUCUCACAAGUCGCCAAAGGUAAUUGUUUCAUAGAUUGUGUGGCGAGGAGUCAUACAGUCUAGGGGCCCUUAAGGUGUGUGGCCUUUAUUGCUAGUAUUUUCCAAAAAUGAUAUUCUGUCGGAGGAGAUGACUAGGAUAUUUUUUCUAGAAGGCAUGGUCUCUGAGACCUCUCUGGUAGUGACAUUUGGCAUACAAUUAGGGCGAUGACUGGA